UACAUAUAUAUACAUAUACAUAUAUAUACAUAUACAUAUAUAUACAUAUACAUAUACAUAUAUAUAUAUAUAUAUAUACAUAUACAUAUACAUACAUAUACAUAUACAUAUACAUAUAUAGGCCGGGGCUACUAUACUCUUAUAAGUAUAGACCCCCUUAUACUCAUAAAUUUUUAACCGUUGAUUGAUGGGAUGUGGUUAGGAUGAUGGUGGUCCCCACUUAGAAUGAUAGUGGUCCCCUAGAGUUGAGUGGGUAGUUGGUUAAAUAGUAUGAUCUAACGGAUGAAAAUGAUUAAUGGAAUAAAUUUAAGGGUCGAAAACUUAUGAGUAUAAAGGAGCCAAUACUCAUAAAAGUAUAGUAGCUGAACUCUAUAUAUAUAUAUAUAUAAUAUUUAUAAAUAUAAUGUAUUUUAAUUAUAUAUAGGCUUUAAUUUAAUUUCGGCCACUAUUGUUGGCCCAUAAAAUAAACCCAACAAGUACAAACGUACAAUUGAGCCCAACUCUAAAUUUACAUAACACUUUCACUGUUGCACAUAACCCUAAAACAUGAUAACAUUCAAAUUUUCAAAUUCCUACUUUUUUUCCUCUCUCUCUCUCUCUCUUUCUCUCUCUUUCUUAGACCCUCAUCGAGUCAGGAAGUCACCCUAGCUCACAUUUUUUAUAAUUAUUUUGUAUUUUGAAUUAUUGGACAUGUUGCAUCAAAUUGUAGAUAAUGUUCUAUAAAAAUUAAACUAUUGAUUAUAUAAUGUCGAGAAUUUCAAUCGGCUCGUUUAGAGCUCGAGCUCAGCUCGACUCGAAAUUAGGCUCGCUCGAGCUCGGCUCGAAUUAAUUUCAAGCUGAGCUUGAGCCUAGAUUUAGGCUCGAANUA
rnacentral:lncRNA from 1 species